rnacentral:misc_RNA from 1 species
CUUUAUUUUAUUUUAUUUUAGCCAUGGAAACUGAACUCAUAUGUAACUCACAGAAACCGAUGAAGAAAAACUGAGACCUUCGUGUCAGUACUAUCAUGUCCGUUCCUUCACCUUCAAAAACUCCAUAAGAUGCUUCUUUUCAGCUUACUUCUCGUCAGUUAUAAGUAACCAUGGGCUUACCCUUGACGGCACUAGCCAAGUUCCACCUCCUAUCACUCUCAUCCUCUCACACUGUUGUCUCCCCAUUGCUUACAAGCCUG